AAGAAUUUAAGUUAAAUAAAACUAUAAACCUUCAAAGUUUAAAAUAGGAAAUAUCCUAAAUCUUA
rnacentral:tRNA from 2 species